rnacentral:rRNA from 1 species
AUGAACGCUGGCGGCGUGCCUAAUACAUGCAAGUCGAGCGAACAGACGAGGAGCUUGCUCCUCUGACGUUAGCGGCGGACGGGUGAGUAACACGUGGAUAACCUACCUAUAAGACUGGGAUAACUUCGGGAAACCGGAGCUAAUACCGGAUAAUAUAUUGAACCGCAUGGUUCAAUAGUGAAAGACGGUUUUGCUGUCACUUAUAGAUGGAUCCGCGCCGCAUUAGCUAGUUGGUAAGGUAACGGCUUACCAAGGCAACGAUGCGUAGCCGACCUGAGAGGGUGAUCGGCCACACUGGAACUGAGACACGGUCCAGACUCCUACGGGAGGCAGCAGUAGGGAAUCUUCCGCAAUGGGCGAAAGCCUGACGGAGCAACGCCGCGUGAGUGAUGAAGGUCUUCGGAUCGUAAAACUCUGUUAUUAAGGAAGAACAAAUGUGUAAGUAACUAUGCACGUCUUGACGGUACCUAAUCAGAAAGCCACGGCUAACUACGUG